AGUGGAAAGAAGAAGAAUACGUUGAUUUUCAGGUUUGUUCACUGGGAAACAGAAAACGGCCUAACGCAUCCUCGCUUGGUGGGCACUUAGGCUGUAUGCCCCGUGUGACCCUCCGCUCUUGACCCCGAGACAAGCCUCUCCUCCAUUCGAGGACCGAGGCUUCACGACAGACACUGGCAACUAACUGGUGUCAAGUCCCUUUGGGUGCACUCUUGGUUCGGGACGAAACUAGUCUGUUCCCUGUCCCCUGGAGACCAUCUCGAACAUGCCCUGGCUUUGGGGCUUUGCUCGGGGAAGCUGUCCUUUCCCUGCCCGCCCUCCGCCUGCAGCCCCUAGGUUCCUGCCUCCUGCCCCUCUCCCAGCCCCCACCCCUCCCUGCGCCAGAUUCCUGCAGCAGCACCACUGUCCCCUGCCUCCCUCGAGACUCAGAGGGGGGCUUAGACCAUCAUUCGUCUGAGCAGCUAACCGCGCACUGGGUUAUCACUCUGGUGCUCCGAGAUCGUUGGGCUUCAGCGGGCGAAGGGAGCGAGGAGAGUGGACAGCCAGCCAGGGACUGGGCGCCGGGCACCAAACGGUACCAGGACAGGAGGCGCCCUGGGCCCGGGUGAUCGUGCAGAGGCUGGCGGAGCCCAGGGCGUGUCCGGAGAGUCUGCAUCCCUGACCCGUUCCCGCGAGAUGCCCGAGCUGGUCUGUGGGGCCCGCAGGUUGAGUCCCAAGGCCUCACAGGGGCGUCUCCCUAAAUCCUCACAACCUCCUGAGUUGGUUCCUCUAACACCCCUAUGUGACAGAUGAAACUGAGGCACCGAGCAGUUAAACGUCUUGCUCGAAAUCACCCACCCACCCACUCAGCUGUAGAGCCAGGACUCGAACCCAGGCCCGCAAACGCCCUGCAGGCCUACUGUCCCGGGACGCCUGUGCCACAGCCUCGGGACACCCUUCCCCACGAGCGGUGGGCCUCUGAGGGCACUUCGUAAUGCAGCGUGCUUAGGACCGUCAGCCCCCCCGGGCCCAGUCUGAAUGACGUCACCCCACGUUGCUGUCACGUUCCUGAAGCCACUGCCUGGUUCCAUGCCCGACUCCUGCUCCUGUGAUGUAACGAAUUUAAGAGUCUUUACGGCUUAAACCCGAUUCCACAGACAAGUAGAACCCCGGACUAACUCUCUAGGUGUGGGCUGACUCUGGUCAAUUCAUUUCAUGUCUACGAGUUCCAGAAAUGAAUUUUAGCAAUCCGUGUCUUUUUUUUUCCUGCCCUGAAUCAAAGAAGAAAUGUUCCUUAGCCACCAAAGUCCAGUGUUUGGGUUUGGGAGUAAGGGUAGGGCUUUUUCCCUUUCUGUCCAGUUCUGUGUCGCUUCCCCUCCCCGUUGGUGGGUCGUUUUCUUCUCUGCAAAUGAAAACAUUCCCUUCCGGCCCGUCCGCAGCCUCCCACCCGCCGCCCCCUCCGACCCGGUGAGAGCUCGCUCUCAGAAAGGCCAGUGUUCUUUUCUUUGGCACCGCGGGCGCUGUAUCCUGUUUGUUUGGAUUUUUAUUGCUCUCGGCACACAGAGCGAAGAAAGUCCGUUACCAGAGAUGUUAUUAAACAUUCAGAGUGAGCCUGCUUGUAGGGUAUUGACGAGCUCUGAAAACAGGGUCAAGUUUUGUUCAAAGAUACCGAAGCAAAAACUUCCACAGAAAGACUUAGAACAGUCCUUGUAACUCCCACAGAAAUUCUUCAGACAGAUCGGACUGAACGUGAUUUCACACUCGGUCGUCUGCGGAGUGGGCUAGAAACCUGUUUCACUGAGGUUCACCAUUAACAGAUGCUUCUUUUGUUUAUGUAGAUUGAUCAGAAAUGGGGUUGCCUCUGUACUACUAGUUAAUGCUGCCGGACUUAUGAUACCCCCCCAAUAGUUACUGAGUAUUCUGUAAGGCACGGGAUGUUUGUUGUAAAUGAUCGUAGAAAUUAAAAUAAGGUAUUCAACUAAAUACCUAAGGUAUGUAUAAGUGUACAGGUGCUCAGUCACAAAACCAUAGAAUGCACUUGGCCGAUGAGGAAAUCGACACCAGGAGGGUUAAGCGGCAGCGUCACGCAGCGUUUUGAAACCGGAAACCGGGCCCCAGUUCACGGUUGCUCCCACGUUACCUGGGCUUCAUGCGCUAUUGUUUAAAUAUAGUAUGAUGUCUGCACAGGGCGUUCCAGAUGGGCACCAGACUGCAUAGUUGUAUCAACUCCGGGCUAUUUUAAAAGCAUGAUUAGACUUGGGAGUCAUUUCUCCUCUGCCCAUCAUCCCUGCUGAGGGCUAGCGGGCCGCCCCUCACCUCGCAGGCCCCACCGACAGUAUCUGAUAACCAUGUAUAGUGAUGUAUAGCCACCAAUAGUAAUAUUUUACUCUUUGCAAAGGACUUUGGGAAUAUUUGGAAACUAUUUAUUUCUCUCUUUCUGUUGCUUUCAUUUGUUUUUCCAAAAAUAAAAAAAAACCCAAACAAACAUGUAUUAGGAUAAAGUCCUAAUAUAAUGAUGUUGAAUUAUUGUACUCCUUAUUACACUUUAUUUUUAAAAUGAAUAAUAGUUGGGUCAAGAACUAAAUUUCUGCUCAGAUUACUUUCUCAUAACCCUGAGUAGUUUGAUAAAAUAAAAUCCUAUUGAAUAACCUAUAGCAAGAAAGAUAUUAACCCACUUUGUCCCUAGGAAUGAUUUUAAACUUUUUAAAUUAUUAGAAUGUGUUCUGGACUAAUCCAAAAAAAUGACUUUUUAUCACAUCUAAUUUAUAAAGACCCCGAUAACCACUGAAAUUAUGUUUCCUUUGUGAUUUUUUAAAAUAAACGUUUAUUGAAGUCUAAGAUGCAUUUUAAAAAGUAUACGAAUCAUAAGGUGAACAUUGAUGAACAUUAUUUAUGUUCUAAUUACUUGUUGCUGGUCUGGAAACACACCACUGAUUUUCGUUUUGACCUCGUACUCGAUGAUCUCGCUGCACCCGCCACUCCCUGGACUUGUUGAGGACGUCGCGUUGUUGGUGAGCAAGGGCGGUGGUGUUUUUCCUUCUCUGCCCACAUACCUGUGUUCAUGAAACAGCUUAUUUGUCUGGAAACAUGCGGCUGUGUUUUCCUUUCACCUUCACCGCACGGAAUGUUUUCGCCGGUCGGAGACUCACAGGCCGGCGGUCAUUCACAUCCAGACUCCGGAGCUGCCCCACUCGCGUCGGUGCUCAGCGGGUAGAGACCCUGUGCCUUCGAGUGGCCGACCCAGUCGCAUGGCGCUCCUUGAAUCCGAGUGUUACCAGGACCCAGGGACUUCACACUUCGACGUCCUCGUUUCAGCGGCUGUGUUUCCGAUGUGUGUAGAAUUCCCACUGGACUCUUUCUGAAACCCACCCCCAGGCUGCUGGAGCUCUUUAUCCUGUCCUGUCUCCUCUCGAACAGCCUUCUCACCAUCGAUUUAAAGUCCACGCCUCCUAUCCCAGUCGCUGGGUCUCCUGCGUGCUGAUGUCUUCUGCUUGUUACUGUUCUCUUCAUCUCUAGUUGCUUGGUUCUGUCUCCUGGUGUGCCCGGUAAUUGUAAAUAAACGAUCAACAUGGUCGCGAUGG